rnacentral:tRNA from 1 species
GUCCCCGUAGUAUAACGGAUAAUAUAUAGCCCUCCGAAGGCUGAGAUAGAGGUUCAAUUCCUCUCGGGGACA